AGAGUUUGAUCCUGGCUCAGGAUGAACGCUAGCGACAGGCUUAACACAUGCAAGUCGAGGGGCAGCGGUGGUGAAGGCUUGCCUUUACCAGCCGGCGACCGGCGCACGGGUGAGUAACACGUAUGCAACCUGCCUGCCACAGCCGGAUAAUCGGGAGAAAUUCCGUCUAAUACGGCAUAAUGCACCUAUGGGACAUCCUGUUGGUGCCAAAGGUUGAUUCCGGUGGCGGAUGGGCAUGCGUCGCAUUAGUUAGUUGGCGGUGUAACGGACCACCAAGACGACGAUGCGUAGGGGUUCUGAGAGGAAGGUCCCCCACACUGGUACUGAGACACGGACCAGACUCCUACGGGAGGCAGCAGUGAGGAAUAUUGGUCAAUGGGCGGGAGCCUGAACCAGCCAAGUCGCGUGAGGGAUGACGGCCCUAUGGGUUGUAAACCUCUUUUGCCGGGGAGCAAAGUGCCGCACGUGUGCGGUUUGGAGAGUACCCGGAGAAAAAGCAUCGGCUAACUCCGUGCCAGCAGCCGCGGUAAUACGGAGGAUGCGAGCGUUAUCCGGAUUUAUUGGGUUUAAAGGGUGCGUAGGCGGACGCUUAAGUCAGCGGUAAAAUUGCGGGGCUCAACCUCGUCGAGCCGUUGAAACUGGGUGCCUUGAGUGGGCGAGAAGUACGCGGAAUGUGUUGUGUAGCGGUGAAAUGCAUAGAUAUCACGCAGAACUCCGAUUGCGAAGGCAGCGUACCGGCGCCCAACUGACGCUGAAGCACGAAGGCGUGGGUAUCGAACAGGAUUAGAUACCCUGGUAGUCCACGCAGUAAACGAUGAAUGCUAGUUGUCCGGGGCGAUUGAGUUCUGGGUGACACAGCGAAAGCGUUAAGCAUUCCACCUGGGGAGUACGCCGGCAACGGUGUAACUCAAAGGAAUUGACGGGGGCCCGCACAAGCGGAGGAACAUGUGGUUUAAUUCGAUGAUACGCGAGGAACCUUACCCGGGCUCAAACGCAGGAGGGAUGUUUUUGAAAGGAGGCAGCCAGCAAUGGUCUCCUGCGAGGUGCUGCAUGGUUGUCGUCAGCUCGUGCCGUGAGGUGUCGGCUUAAGUGCCAUAACGAGCGCAACCCCUACCUACAGUUGCCAUCGCGUGAUGGCGGGCACUCUGUGGGGACUGCCUGCGCAAGCAGUGAGGAAGGCGGGGAUGACGUCAAAUCAGCACGGCCCUUACGUCCGGGGCGACACACGUGUUACAAUGGCAGGUACAGCGGGAAGCCACCCGGCGACGGGGCGCGGAACCCGAAAACCUGUCUCAGUUCGGAUUGGAGUCUGCAACCCGACUCCAUGAAGCUGGAUUCGCUAGUAAUCGCGCAUCAGCCACGGCGCGGUGAAUACGUUCCCGGGCCUUGCACACACCGCCCGUCA
rnacentral:rRNA from 1 species